UACGUAGGGGGCGAGCGUUGUCCGGAGUUACUGGGCGUAAAGGGCAUGCAGGCGGUCGGACGCGUUUCGGGUGACAGCGGGUGGCUUAACUACCCGAGUGGUCGAAAGACGGUUUGACUUGAGGACGCGAGAGGGACACGGAAUUCCGGGUGGAGUGGUGAAAUGCGUAGAGAUCCGGAGGAACACCGAAGGCGAAGGCAGUGUCCUGGCGCGUACCUGACGCUGAGGUGCGAAAGCUAGGGGAGCGAACGGG
rnacentral:rRNA from 1 species